rnacentral:rRNA from 1 species
AUUGAACGCUGGCGGCAUGCUUUACACAUGCAAGUCGAACGGUAACAGGGUGGUUGCACCGCUGACGAGUGGCGAACGGGUGAGUAAUGCGUCGGAACGUGCCGAGUAGUGGGGGAUAACGCAGCGAAAGUUGUGCUAAUACCGCAUACGUACUGAGGUAGAAAGUGGGGGACCUUCGGGCCUCACGCUAUUCGAGCGGCCGACGUCUGAUUAGCUAGUAGGUGAGGUAAAGGCUCACCUAGGCGACGAUCAGUAGCGGGUCAGAGAGGAUGAUCCGCCACACUGGGACUGAGACACGGCCCCGACUCCUACGGGAGGCAGCAGUGGGGAAUUUUGGACAAUGGGCGAAAGCCUGAUCCAGCCAUGCCGCGUGUCUGAAGAAGGCCCUCGGGUUGUAAAGGACUUUUGUCAGGGAGGAAAUCCCUAGUGCUAAUAACACUGGGGGAUGACAGUACCUGAAGAAUAAGUACCGGCUAACUACGUGCCAGCAGCCGCGGUAA